rnacentral:rRNA from 1 species
UUUCAUGGCUCAGAUUGAACGCUGGCGGCAGGCCUAACACAUGCAAGUCGAACGGUAACAGGAAGCAGCUUGCUGCUUUGCUGACGAGUGGCGGACGGGUGAGUAAUGUCUGGGAAACUGCCUGAUGGAGGGGGAUAACUACUGGAAACGGUGGCUAAUACCGCAUAACGUCGCAAGACCAAAGAGGGGGACCUUCGGGCCUCUUGCCAUCAGAUGUGCCCAGAUGGGAUUAGCUUGUUGGUGAGGUAACGGCUCACCAAGGCGACGAUCCCUAGCUGGUCUGAGAGGAUGACCAGCCACACUGGAACUGAGACACGGUCCAGACUCCUACGGGAGGCAGCAGUGGGGAAUAUUGCACAAUGGGCGCAAGCCUGAUGCAGCCAUGCCGCGUGUAUGAAGAAGGCCUUCGGGUUGUAAAGUACUUUCAGCGGGGAGGAAGGUGUUGUGGUUAAUAACCGCAGCAAUUGACGUUACCCGCAGAAGAAGCACCGGCUAACUCCGUGCCAGCAGCCGCGGUAAUACGGAGGGUGCAAGCGUUAAUCGGAAUUACUGGGCGUAAAGCGCACGCAGGCGGUCUGUCAAGUCGGAUGUGAAAUCCCCGGGCUCAACCUGGGAACUGCAUUCGAAACUGGCAGGCUUGAGUCUUGUAGAGGGGGGUAGAACCAGGUGUAGCGGUGAAAUGCGUAGAGAUCUGGAGGAAUACCGGUGGCGAAGGCGGCCCCCUGGACAAAGACUGACGCUCAGGUGCGAAAGCGUGGGGAGCAAACAGGAUUAGAUACCCUGGUAGUCCACGCCGUAAACUGUCUACUUGGAGGUUGUGCCCUUGAGGCGUGGCUUCCGGAGCUAACGCGUUAAGUAGACCGCCUGGGAGUACGGCCGCAAGGUUAAAACUCAAAUGAAUUGACGGGGGCCCGCACAAGCGGUGGAGCAUGUGGUUUAAUUCGAUGCAACGCGAAGAACCUUACCUGGUCUUGACAUCCACAGAACUUUCCAGAGAUGGAUUGGUGCCUUCGGGAACUGUGAGACAGGUGCUGCAUGGCUGUCGUCAGCUCGUGUUGUGAAAUGUUGGGUUAAGUCCCGCAACGAGCGCAACCCUUAUCCUUUGUUCCCAGCGGUCCGGCCGGGAACUCAAAGGAGACUGCCAGUGAUAAACUGGAGGAAGGUGGGGAUGACGUCAAGUCAUCAUGGCCCUUACGACCAGGGCUACACACGUGCUACAAUGGCGCAUACAAAGAGAAGCGACCUCGCGAGAGCAAGCGGACCUCAUAAAGUGCGUCGUAGUCCGGAUUGGAGUCUGCAACUCGACUCCAUGAAGUCGGAAUCGCUAGUAAUCGUGGAUCAGAAUGCCACGGUGAAUACGUUCCCGGGCCUUGUACACACCGCCCGUCACACCAUGGGAGUGGGUUGCAAAAGAAGUAGGUAGCUUAACCUUCGGGGGGGCGCUUACCACUUUGUGAUUCAUGACUGGGGUGAAGUCGUAACAAGGUAACCGUAGGGGAACCUGCGGUUGGAUCCCCCCCUA